GAUUUUUAUAUAAAUUGGUAUUGCAUAUCAUUUAAAAAAAAUUUUAUAAUAUAUAAAAAAUAAAAUUAAAAGGUAGAAAAAUUUUAUUAUUUUUAUUGUUUCAUAAUAAAAAUUAUAAUUUUUAGGGUUGAAAAGUCGACUUUUAAGAUAUUUGUUUAGUCAUAGUUUAAUUAGAAAUUUAUUAGUUUAAAAUUUUUAUAUUUAUAAAAAGUAAGGGUUAAAGUAUCUAUUUUACUAGUUUUAUAACAGUUUAUUUAAUUAUUUUUAUAAUUGAGUAUUUAAUGUAUGUAAUAAAAUUUUAUUGCAUAAAUUAUUUUAAAAUAAGUAGUUUUAGUAAAUUUAAUAAUUUUUUUUUAUUUUACUAGUUUUAUAACAGUUUAUUUAAUUAUUUUUAUAAUUGAGUAUUUAAUGUAUGUAAUAAAAUUUUAUUGCAUAAAUUAUUUUAAAAUAAGUAGUUUUAGUAAAUUUAAUAAUUUUUUUUUUAAAUUAAUCAAAAAACUCAAAAAUUAAUCAAAUGUUUAUUAAAGACUUAGACUUUUAAAUAAAGUUUGCUUCUGCCCAAUGAUAAUAUUUAAAUGGCAGUCUUAGCGUGAGGACAUUAAGGUAGCAAAAUAAUUUGUGCUUUUAUUGAGUUCCAGUAUGAAUGAAGUUAUUGGUUAAUUUAUUUUUUGAUUUUUAAAUGAAUUUAUAAUUAGUUAUAAAAAAUUAUUAGUAUAAUAAUACAAAGAUAAGUCUUCGGAAAUUCUUUUUUAAUUUUAACGUGUAGUUAUUAAUUAAAAAUUUUCUAGGGCAGAAUUUUAUAUAAUUAUUUUAUCUAUUAAUAAUUUAAGGAAUUACUCCGGAGUUAACAGAAAAUCAUAUCUAAUCUAGUACUUAUAGUAAGAUAAGUUUUACAUCGAUGUUGUAUUUAAGUAAAUUAAAAAAGGAGAAGAUUUAAAAUUUAAGACUGUUCUUCUUUUAAUUAACUUAACGUGAUAUUAGUUUAAUUCAUUGUGAGAUAGAAUUGUUUAUCUUGUUUAUUAUUAAAUAUUAAUAUUAAUAGUACGAAAGGAAAAUUAAAAAAAAUUUGAAAUUUUAAAAGUUUUUUGCUU
rnacentral:rRNA from 1 species